GUGAUUUUAUUGGGGAAUAUUUUAAAGUCACCAAUACUAAGUUUUAAAUGUUAGAUAAUAUGUUCCACUUCACUAGCUUUAGCUAUCCUGUGUUUCUAUCGACUUUCUAUCCACUAUCUUAAGUUAGAGUGAGUUUCUUCUCAUUUUUGGUAUCUUGUCUUGGUUUUAACCUUUGAACCUGAGUAUAUUGUGGUCAGGUGAUUUGGUAUCCAGGGAAUGUUUGGACACUUAGGUAAUAGAGUUUGAGGCAAUAGGUUGACUAUUUUCAGUUCUCCAUAUUGCAACUUAUUUCUGUAUAGUCAUAGUUUAAUUAGCUAGUUUUAGAUAUUUCAUUUCUAAUAUAGUUUAUAUAGAAGUUAGAUUAAAGUAUUCAAUAGUUCCAGUGAUUGCCAGGUAAGAUACUUCAAAGGUACUUCACCUUUGACAGUCUGUCUAGCCAGCAAAACCCCUCUCUAGGGGUUUCUGUUAUAUCUGAAUAAACCGUUGAAUCGAACCCUUGGUGUGGUUUUUUCUACAACUAGAGAAUGGACCCCCCGUAACAUUUGGAGCCCGAUAAAUUUUGAUGGUAUAAUGGUAUAAAGAUUAAUGGUAUAAUGGUUAUCAGUUUAAUGGUGAUUUUGAAGAGUAUAGACUACUAUAGAAGAUAAAAUUCAGUGAGCUCACACGCGUGCGCGAUCAACAGCAAUAGCAGUAUACCAGUGCAGUGACAUUAACUUUAUUUAGUAUAUUUUGGUGAUUUGUGUUUCAUUUGGAUUUAUAAGGAUUUUCCAUAAGAUACUUCAAAGGUACUUCACCUUUGACAGUCUGUCUAGCCAGCAAAACCCCUCUCUAGGGGUUUCUGUUAUAUCUGAAUAAACCGUUGAAUCGAA